AGCGAACGCUGGCGGCAGGCCUAACACAUGCAAGUCGAGCGCCGUAGCAAUACGGAGCGGCAGACGGGAGAGUAACACGUGGGAACGUGCCCUUUGGUUCGGAACAACCCAGGGAAACUUGGGCUAAUACCGGAUAAGCCCUUACGGGGAAAGAUUUAUCGCCGAAGGAUCGGCCCGCGUCUGAUUAGCUAGUUGGUGGGGUAAUGGCCCACCAAGGCGACGAUCAGUAGCUGGUCUGAGAGGAUGAUCAGCCUCACUGGGACUGAGACACGGCCCAGGCUCCUACGGGAGGCAGCAGUGGGGAAUAUUGGACAAUGGGCGCAAGCCUGAUCCAGCCAUGCCGCGUGGGUGAUGAAGGCCCUAGGGUUGUAAAGCCCUUUCGGCGGGGAAGAUAAUGACGGUACCCGCAGAAGAAGCCCCGGCUAACUUCGUGCCAGCAGCCGCAGUAAUAC
rnacentral:rRNA from 1 species